CAUUGACCAGCAGAUUAGAAGCCUGGUUCUGUAGGGUUUUUGGCACAUCUUCCAUCUAUGGCAGAGCUUAUCAAAUUAAAGUUUGUAUCUCACAAUUGCUGGCCAUACUUGUUUUACUUACAAAUUUGAUUUAGGAAAUACUGUGAUGACCACUAGACAGAUGUGGAGGUGGAAUGAUGAUUUGACGGUGAUGAGAUGUUUGGAUGAUAUUUUCUAGCUUAAGGAUAUUUGUAUCUUUUGCAACCAAUCGUUAGAUAUGGUACAAUGUGUUAUAUUCAUUAUGAUACAUUUUGUACUUCAAAUUACACAAACAAUUUAUGUAAUGUUUUAUUUGUUUCCUGUAUUCAUGUUUGUAUGUAAUGUGUGUGCUAGUUGAAAAAUUGAAAGUGGAAGCAAUUUCUUUUA